UACGGAGGGUGCGAGCGUUGUCCGGAAUCACUGGGCGUAAAGGGCGCGUAGGUGGCGCGGGCAGUCAACGGUGAAAGUUCGGGGCUCAACCCUGAAUCGGCCGUCGAUACUCCCGUGCUUGAGCACUGUAGAGGCAGAUGGAAUUCCGGGUGUAGCGGUGGAAUGCGUAGAGAUCCGGAAGAACACCAGUGGCGAAGGCGGCCCGCUGGGCAGUGGCUGACGCUGAGGCGCGACAGCGUGGGGAGCAAACAGG
rnacentral:rRNA from 1 species